AAUGAACGCUGGGGGUGUGCAUUACACAUGCGAGUCAACUUUUAGUGGCGAACGGGUGAGUACUGCAGGCAUCGUUGCCCGAUAGUCUAGAUUAAAUUCUAGAUAAAAAGAUUGAUCGCUGUUGGAUACGUCUGCGUAGGAUUAGAUAUUCAUGGAGAGUCGACGAUCCUUAAUUGAUCUGGGAAGGAUGCACAGUCACAUUGGAACUGAGACAAGGUCCAAGCUCCGUAGGAGGCAGCAGUGAGGAAUAUUGGGCAAUGGGCGAAAGCCUGACCCAACGACAUCCCUUAGUGAAGGAAGGCUAAGGUCGUAAAGCUAUGAGAUUAGCGAGGAUUAUGACGUCAGCUAUUCAAAAAGCCCCGGCUAACUCCGUGCCAGCCGCCGCGGUAAAAC
rnacentral:rRNA from 1 species